UGACAUUUGAAUUGUUUGUGAGUGGCUUUUGUGUGGCCUGUCAUGCCUGUGUACUCUGGUGAUGCUAAACCACACCUGCAAGACUGUGUGUGUGUGUGUGUGUGUGUGUGUGUGUGUGUGUGUGUGUGUGUGUGUGUGUGUGUGUGUGUGUGUGUGUGUGCGUGUAUUCCUGCCUUCUUCCCCAGGUGCAAAGCAGACAGUUGGUCCGCUUCCUCGUACCCUCAGAGCUCAGCGGGGCAGCAGCGAGGGCCAGAGCUUCAGAGCAGCAGGAGGGAGAGAUGGGUGUGUAUAUGCAUUUGUGUGUGUCUGUUUGAGGAGUUUAGGAAUUACAGGUGGCUACAGUCAACCGUGUGGGACAUUCAGGGACAGGUCAGGGUCAGUGAUCUCUUAAAGAACAGCUCUUAAAGAAAUGCAUUCACCUUUGACACGAAUAUGCUAAUGCUAAUUGUGCUAAUCUGAAAAUGGCUGAAUGUGUGUUCACACCUUUGUGCUUACUCC
ensembl:lncRNA